AUAAUCUGAAUUACCUCUCCAAUCUGAAUUGCAAGCGUUGGAAAACAUGUUGCCCCUUGAUUGGUUAUAGCCUUGAUAUCCCCAAACAUCUUCAUUGGGAUAAAAUUGAGGACUUUGAUAUCCUUGCCCAUAGAGCACAUCAAGUGUAGGGACACUUGGCAUUGUGGUCCGUUCGGCAUUAUGAGUCAAUUGAGCAGUGAGCUGUGCCAAUUGAGCUUGAAUGGUCGCAAGUGCCAUGUCUUGCUCCAUUUGUACCUAAAAUCAAAGAAAGAAAAAUAAAUCAAAUAUCAAAAGUAAAAUACACAAACACCAAUAUAAACAUAAACAAAAACAAAAAUAAAGGGAUUAGCAAAGUUGCUAAUCCCCGGCAACGGCGCCAAAAUUUGAUGUGAGAAUUUCUUGACACACAAAUUAAACCCUCUUUUUGACAAUUGUAGUAUGGAUGUAAGUAGGGUAUCGUUCUAGGCCGGGGAUUAGGAGGGAUUGCUAAUCUAUUCUAAAUUAAUUUAAAAAUAUUAAACAAGACUCAAGGACACAAAAUUAGGCUAAAAACUCUAAUAACUCGAAACACACUUAGGAUGACUCAAAAUAAUGAAAAUAAUCAAAUUAGACACUAGGAACUGCAAUGGACGGAAAUUGAAUUAAAAGACUAACAACAAUGAAAACUAACUAAAUAAUAUAAUUUAAUAAUGGGGGGGUUUGGUUUUGACGAGAAGUAAAUUAAACUUAAAUAAAUUACAGAAUUGACAAAAACAUGAAAUUAAGGUGAAAGGAUAAAUGACGG
rnacentral:lncRNA from 1 species